rnacentral:lncRNA from 1 species
GGCAAUGAAGUAAAGUCACUCCCACAAGGCCUUAAUAGGGAAGAAGGUUCAAAGCUAAUGGAGACAUAAAAUAUCGAUAGUGAUUACAUAUAGGUUGACAAGUACAGGCUGGAGCAUACAUAAACUUCAACAUAUUCAAAAAUAUUAACAUCAAGGGAACGCAUUAUCAUCCAACAUCAGCUGUUUAUGAUGUACAGUAUUUAAGUCAAGAGAUAAAACUCUUCCAAGUUGUUUCUAAAUGACAAAAAGUUGAAUUGGCACACCAGAAGGCUUAAUUGAGAAAAUAUAAGACCUAAUCAGGAACCAAAAUUUGUGUUUACACUGUUCCAUACCCUCAGGCUCAGGUAUUAUACAUACAAGCAGAGAUAAGGACCAACUUUGCACUGAAUGAAAAAACAAAUAGUAACGAUAAUGCUGAGAAAGAAAGUUCUUUGGAAAACACUAUCUCCUGCUCUUUUUAGUCUUCAAUCGCUUGUAGGCCAUAAAUGUAACAGCAGCUGAUAGAGAAUACCUGUAAGAAAAUGAUUUUUUGAUUAAAACUAGUGUACAAAAUACUGUUCAUUCACAAAGUGUCCAAAUUCUAGUCCAAAUCCAAACACUCAAAAAUGCUCGUGAACCAACACAAAAUUCAAGCAAAGAAAACGAAAAGACAAGAAAUGAGAGUGCAAACAAGGAAGCAAAUUAUGCAUAAAUAUGCAAGCAUAAUAUUUGGGUAAACAAGUUGGCAUACCAUGUCAACGUAUAAUUCAGGUGAUCCUGUGGCAUAACCGAACUGCGAAUUAAAGUAUUGACAUCCUUUGGGAGAGGGUAAGGUUUACUUGGAUCAAUGUUAUCAUGGAUAUCUUCAAUAUAAACAGUAUUUUCUGGCAGUCCACAAGCACGUGCAAUCAUUGGAACAUCAACAUAGAACCACUGACCAGAGCUGGGAUCAUUUGCUGGAACAAAAAUACUUGGCUUCUCACUCUCACGGAUUACACCUAUAACUUUCUCAGGAGUAGUUACAGGACCCUGAUCCUGUUAUAUUGAAACUUAAGGUUAGAACUAUCUAGUAUUUGACUUACCUGAUAUACAGAUACCAUACAUUGAUUUAAGAAAAAACCUUUCUGGCUUUAGCUUGUCUGGACCAAAACUUCCACCAAGUGCUCCCUUCAUUUUCUCCAGCAUGGGGGGAUUCCGGAGCUGAAUGUUGUUUGUCAUCUUGAGAGUUUUCCAGAAACUUGUCUCGCCAGCUACGUGGGACCCAACCUCUAUUAACUAGAAUUGGUGCCUGUACACUGACAUAAAAUUUCUUAAUAAAUUGCCAUCUGAAGAAAGAUAGAAGCCUAACUAUAUAAUACAAUAAUUCUGUGAAAAGUAGAAAAAUUAUAGGAAGUAGAAAACACAUUUAUACGACUAAUUAUGGGAAGUAGAAAAAUCCAUCAGAAAUGAAGAAUUCAACUUCAAAAUUCAUACAUCCCAGGAUCCCAGGAUCCCAGUCCCCAGGAGCCAUUGAACAUAGGCAGAGCAGAAGUGAACUAAAAAUGAAACAAAACUAGAAAUAACCACUAUUCCAAGCAAUUUUGUAUAUUGUAAAGUUUUAUAGUCUGCAAAAAUAAUUUGAAAGACACUGAGUGUACAGAGGACAUCUCUAGCAACAAGUACCUAAGGCAGCUGCACGGCAACAUUACUACAGUCCAUCAAGUAAAUAUGUGUCAUAAUGAUCACAGUAGGAAUUUACCUUGCAGGGUUGUCAGGCACAGGCAUGAGUGGUGUGAUGACAUAGUAACCAUUCUCAGUCACCCCGGAAAUGCUUCUAGAACGAGGACCCACAUAAAUUGACCUACUGUCAUUGAAGACCCCUUCACAUAACACCCUCCUAAAUUCCAAUGGACCUGGCUCUUCAUUGAGAGAAGAUGAUAUGCUAGUCAGAUUAAGAGGCUCCAGUCCCAACCUACUUCUCCUAAAUUCCAGCAUUUCAAUCUAUAUAAACAAAAACAAAGAAGUAUUAAAAAUAUAAGAAAAAUAAGUAGAACAUAAUUAAGGAUACAUAGGUACUAAAGAAGUAAAGAUAAAAAACUCUAUCUAUCUACAAACACCGUAUUCAAUCCGAAAAAAAAAAUAAAAAAAAAAUCAUUAGACAAAAAUGGUUACUUUAACAGUUUAACAACAAGAACCUUAAUCCCUAAAACUCUAAAGAUAACACACAUAAGAACAGAUUUGUAUCUAAAGCUUACCUUGUCUUGCCUUCUUACAAUCUGCCAAGUUCCAAGGCCAAAAGUGAUAGCUCCAGGAAGAAAAAGCAACCAUCUUGAUAAACCCCCACCCUCUCUUCCUAGUUAAAUCAACAAAAAUCAACAUUACAUUUCUUCAUACAUGUACAAUAAUAACUUAUCAAACACCAUUACACAGGAGACAGAGAGAGAGAGAGAGAGAGAGAGAGAGAGAGAGAGAGAGAAACCUUGAACUUCUGAUGGCAAAGGUAAUGGAGAUUCUGCAAUUGUGGAGAGAGAUCGUUGGGAACUGAGAAGUGGAGAUGUGAAUGAAGAAUUAAGUUUACAGAUUCUGUAAUUUUGAUUUGCGAAGAGAGAAGAAGAAGUUCGAAGGUUUAGGGUUUUAGAGAUUGAAUCGAGAAAUCUGGUAGAAGGUGACAUUUGAAACUUGAAAGAGGUGUUCGAAGACUGCAAAGCAACUCAGCAAGCAAAGUGGAAGAAGAGGGGGUUUAUAAAGUCACCUGGUUUCACCCCACUUUCUGUUCGUAUGCGCCCCUUUUUUUGCUUUUGAGCACCACCUAGUUCUUAAGGGCACCCACAACAAAAUUCUGACAUUCUUGCUUCAUGAGGGCGCCUCGUUUUUGCUUUUGAGCACCAUCAUCUUCCACAGAAAUCCUUUGGAAUUUUGGGGGCAGCUUCACGUCCUUUUUAUUUUUCGUUACGUUAGCGAGUUGCAGUUGUAAUAGGGUUUAAGUGUUUAACAAAAUGAUUCUUAGAAACAUAUUUCAAAUUUAGACCUUUGUACAACUCAAAACCUGAUGAUUUCAAACAUUAAGCCAGAAAUUAGUUUACAAAUUGUUAUUACCAGUGUUUGACAAGAUAUACAAAUAUAUAACAAUUUACAAAGACAAAAUGGAGCUUGAAAUUUAUCAAAGGGCCCCUUGGAAAAGAAAAACAAUACAUAUUACAGUUCAUUGUAAAAAUGAAUUUGAUCUGUUGAGUCGCAUCUUCCAGUUAUUUCCAUGAGACUAUGACUAAGCUUCAACUGCAUUAAUCUCUCUUCUGCUCCAUAGAGAUAAUCGAAUCAGAAUUGCUAAUCAAUGUAGAACAUUCCAAAAACUCAGGUCUUUGUUGUAAGACGACGCCUCAAACAAAAUCUCUCAAAUAGACUUGUACGAAUUUCUUUUCUUUUGAUGGAAGCAUGCACAGCCAGUAGAACUUCUGAUGGAAGCGCAGAAUGAAAUUAAUUGUGUCCCUGGUAGAACAAUAGAUUGGCAAGGUCAAAUCAUGCUGCAUGCACAUCCAUAAUUUACUUCAGUCAUCUAAAUAAACCUAAUGUGCAUGGUGUGUAGUUUGCAGCUGUAUGAAAACCCAGAGUAAUAAAGGCAUAUAAGAUGCAGAUAAUUUAUAGAAUGGAGGCCAUAUCGCAAUAAGGCAGGUCUAGAAAAUGGCUUUCUUAACUAUCCAUAAAAAAACCGUAUUUUGUCAACAUCAGAUCAUGCUACCAUGCAAGUCAACACUAUAUCAACUGAUGCUUAACUACUAUAUGUAGAACUGCAGCAUAGAGAUACAUUAGAUGCAGGUAUACAUAAUUUGGGACCAUAAAUCACACUGCUUCGUCAGUAGGGAUUAUCAUUUAUCAAUUUGCUUCAACAGGAUACCAGGCCUUUCUCUUCGUCUAGAAACAAAAGUAUACUCAUGUCUAGUAUCGUCCAGCUGAUGUAUCCUUUGGUUUUAUGCAUAGUACACCAUCAGAUGAUGAUCUGAGUGGAUGGCCGAUGAGAAAUAUGCCUUUAAUUAUCAGUGUUUUUUUAACUCUAUCUAUGGUAUUACAUUAAUGUUUAUGUACACCCUAACCCAUAUCUCAACAAACUUUAGUUACAACUCAGUUUGUUUCGAAAUCAGCAUGUUUUCUGAGAUAAAAUUAAUAAAUGUUGCUGAUUAAAAUAGUUUUUUCAACCUAGAGAGGGGGAGUUCCUUUAUACAUUCUGUAGAACUCAAAUAAUCAAUAAUAACAUCAGAAGCAAUCGAUCAUAAGGUCUAAACAACCUCAAGGUCCAAAUCAUGGUUCUGUGGAUUUCGAAGUAAUUUAGCCUCUACAAGGUAUAAGUGUCCAAUGUGGAGGUCUAUCAAGCACAUAAUGUUGGGGAUCACACUGAAAUAGAAUGUGUAUCGUUGGUUUUGCGGACAACAAGCAGGCCUAAAUAGUAUUUUCAAAUGUUCAACAUAAUGGAUUGUCCAUAUGCACUAUGACUUUUAUUAUUAGAAAAAUGGGCAUCUUAAUUAAUGUUCCUUUCAACAAUUUUUCUGGAGUAAACAGAACAAAAGUAAAGCAUUUUACCAAAACGAGUACCUUCAUUUCUUUUGCAAUGGAUGGCAGCCACUUUUCUCGUCUCUACUAAUCUUUACAAGCUCUGUCACUCUUUCUUGGCAACAAGACUAGCUAAUGUUUUCCGGGAUGCAUCUCUUGUUGGGCCCAUUACAUCUCCCUGGAGCUGAUGUCUGAAAUGGAACCCAUUCACCAUCGGAAUUAGACAUCAUAAAUGUUAAUAUAAGGACUAUAGAAUGGGAAUACGCAUCACUAAUUAUUUUCAUUUGUGAUUAGGUAGCACAUCACCAAAAACAAAUCCUAGAACAAAGAAAACCUUCUAUGAUUUCUCAUUAACCAAUUCUCUGGGAAGAAUCUUUAGCUUCUUUCUUGGUUGCUGAUGUUAAUCAGACAAAAGAUAAUAUAAUGUUUAUGUUUAUGACCAACACGCUAAAAUUCAUAUAAAAAAAAAAACAAACCAAAAACACAUCUUAUAUCCAUAUAAAAACUAAUAAUUAAAAACAACAGAAAUGUAGAACAAGCAAAUACCAGCAAGAAGAGGCAGCAACAUACUACAGCUAUGUACCUGAAUGCUUUUUGGGUCAAUUGAAACCAAUGCAAUAAGUCAGUGACUUCAUUUAAAUGCUGAACAAUAGCACAAUCAACGCCUUGAGCUACUAUCGGCACACCUUUGUUGUGCUUUUCCGCCUCUUGAUUAGCCCAUGCAUCAAAGCAAUAUAGGUGGAGCUCUUUACCGUAAUACCUCCCCGCACCAUUUCCUCUAAAAUGCAUCUUGCUUCUCUGAACUUUCCUUCAUUACACAAGUCUUCAAUACGCUUUGAAUAAACCACAGAGUUCAAAUCAAAGUCCUGCUGCGGAGAUUUCUUAGGUGCCAUCUCAAUAUUUUCCAAAGUUUCUGCUCCUUCAGUAUUGUCUUCAUCUAGUGCAGCAAUUGAUGACAAAUCCGGUAAUUUUCCAAUUUCAGCCAUCUUAGUAACAAAUUCUUGAGCUUCUUCAGUCCUACCAGCCUCUGUAAGUCCACAAAGAAAAGCAUUGUACGUAAAAUGAUCAGGCUUAAAAUUUCUUUCUUGCAUUUCUGUUAAAAGCUCCAGUGCAGCUUCUAUGUUUCCUUCUCUGCACAGACCUGUUAUCAGUGUAUUGUAAGUGACGGCAUCAACUGAUUUCCCUUUCGAAACCCAUACGUUGAACAGCUUAAGCGCCUUGUCUACCAUCUUCUCAUUGCACAUACCAUGAAGAAGAAUGUUACAUGUUUUGGUAUCCAGUUUAAAUGAGUUCGAAACCAUUGUGUUGUAGAAAUGAAAUGCUUUGUCCACCUCUCUCUCCCAGCAGUAUCCAUGAAUCAGGGUAUUGUAGGUAGUUUCAUCUGGCACCAAACCCCUCUCCAAAAGCUCAUUCAACUUGGCCAUCACCUGGUCAGUCUUGCCCGACUUGCAGAGGCCUGCAAUGACUGAAUUGUACGUACUAAUACUUGGCAGGAUCUGUUUCUUCUUCAUCUCAUCCCAAAGUUUCAAAGCCCUGUCGGCAUCCUCAUUCUUAAAGUACCCCAUAAUUAAGGUACCAUAACUAACUUCAUCAGGGUCAUAACCCCUCUUCGAGGCACUACAAAGCAACUCAUAUGCCUCGUCAAGUUUUUUCUCAUUACAGAGAGCAUGAAGAAUAGUGUUAAGGGUGAAAGUAUCCAUCUUCAAGCGUUUCCGAAGCAUGUCAUCCAUUGUCUUGAAGGCUGCACCCAUGUUCCCAACUUUGCAGUACCCACUAAUCAAAGUAUUGUAAGUGACAGAAUCUGGAGAAACCCCCGUUUCUUCCAUCUUCCUGAUAAAGUCACUCGCUUCUUGCAUAUUUCCUUUUUUAGACAACCCCUUGACCAUUAUAUUAUAAGUAACCGCAUUCGGCUUCACACCCUUCUUACUCAUUUCCUCAAAUACCUUGAAUCCAUCAGAACUAUUUUUAAAAUUAAAACACCCGUUAAUCAAUGUGUUAUAAGUAACAACAUCAGGUAACACCUUCAUAUUUUCCAUCUCAUCACGAAGCUUAAAAGCCUCUUCUAUCUUACUCUCUUUACACAAUCCACUUAUCAACAUGUUAUAAGUCCAAAUAUCUGGCAAAAUAUUAGUCUGAGUCAUCAAAUCAAUUGUUCGCGCAGCCUCCUUCAACCACCCCAUCCUACAAUACCCACACACCAAAGUAUUAUACGUAUUCCUAUUUGGCGUAAGUCCUUUACCUUUCAUAUCAACAAGCAAAUUUCUAGCUUCUUUCAACAAACCCUUUUUACAAAAAGCAUCUAACAUUGUAUUAUAAGUAACAUUAUCAGGAUCACAUUGAAAUUCACUCAUUCUAUUCAAAAACUCCAUAGCUUCCUUAAACUUAUAUUUCAAACAACAACCAAAUAUCAAUAUAUUAAAAGUAAUAGUAUUUGGCGAAAACCCAAGUUUAACAGCAUCCUCAAAUAUUUCUUUCGACAUAGAAACUGAAUUAGGAGAUGGGUAUCUUACCAAACCAUUCAAAAGUGUAUUGCAAGUCAAGAAAUUUGGUCUAUGUCGCUCUCUCUUCAUCUUUUUAAAAAUCUGCACAGCAAGAUAUGGUUUUUGAGCAUGAACAUAACAAGUAAUAGCAGUAUCAAGAAGGGCUUUUGAAGGGAUAGGAUAAUUACGAGGUGGGUGAAUAAGACGGUCAUGAAGCAAAUGUUUAUCAUCUUGAGCAAUAAAGGAAAGAAGAAUAGAUUUAGUGUCUGUGAACUUUUUGAAACGAAUUAAAGGAGGGAGAAGAGAGAGAAGAGAAGGGAGAGAAGUAGAAGGGUUGGUGAAGUUAGGGAGAUGAGUUUGACACCAUUUGUAGAAAGAAAGAAGAGUGUUUGGAUCAGUUGAAAGAGAUGAAGAAGAGAUUAUUGAAGGAAUUAUAGAUGGAUUAAGAUGAGGAAUGCAUUCGACUAGAGUUUGAAAAGAAUUAGGAGAUGAUUUCAGCAAAUGUGUGAUGGUUUCAAUGAUUUUAGAUUGGGUUUUUGUUGAUGAUUGCAUUGUGUUUGUGGAAAUUUCUCUGAGAAGAAAAGAAGAAAGAACAGCUUCUUGUUAAAAACUUAAAACUGUGAACUCUUGUUGUUUUUGUUUUUUUUUUUUCUUGUGAAUUCAGCUUCAAGUGUGUAGGUUUCGGUGGUUAUGGACCUUUUUACCUUUUUAGCAUACAAGUAUGUGUGUUUUCCACUGGCGACGCUAAAGCGUUCGUAGCCCAACGGUUAGAAUGAUUGUCUUCCAAGCAAGAGACCCGGGUUCAAGUCUCAUACCAAAAGCUUCAGGAAAUUUUAUCUUUUUUAGCAGGAAGAGGUUUGUACUGUAUUCAAUUUCCUAGUACAAAUUAUAAUAUUUUCAGCACUACGCCACUACAUAUAUUAGCUGUGAUGCGGGGCAUGCAGACUGUGAACCCAAAGUAGUCUGAAAACAGAGUGCUUAUACAAGAAAAUUUGUCAUCUAUUUUUCUCUUCAAAAAUCGUAACUAUCGUACAAAUAUCAAAUAUCGAGGUACAGAAGGCUAAACAAUAGGCCAGGUGAAAAGUGAAAGAUUUUGACAAUAAUCUAUAUAGUCUUCAAUCUAUGAGUACACGGCUAAUUAGAAAGUCCUUGAGUAUAAGCACUGUUCCAUACCCUCAGGCUCAGGACCAACUUUGCACUCUGAAUGAAAAAGCAAAGAGUAACGAUAAUGCUGAGAAAGAAAGUUCUUUGGAAAGCACUAUUUCCUGCUCUUUUUAGUCUUCAAUCUCUUGUAGGCCAUAAAUGUAACAGCAGCUGACAGAGAAUACCUGUAAGAAAAUGAUUUUUUGAUUAAAACUAGUGUACAAAAUACUGUUCAUUCACAAAGUGUCCAAAUUCUAGUCCAAAUCCAAACACUCAAAAAUGCUCGUGAACCAACACAAAAUUCAAGCAAAGAAAACGACAAGACAAGAAAUGAGAGUGCAAACAAGGAAGCAAAUUAUGCAUAAAUAUGGAAGCAUAAUAUUUGGGUAAACAAGUUGGCAUACCAUGUCAACGUAUAAUUCAGGUGAUCCUGUGGCAUAACCGAACUGCGAAUUAAAGUAUUGACAUCCUUUGGGAGAGGGUAAGGUUUACUUGGAUCAAUGUUAUCAUGGAUAUCUUCAAUAUAAACAGUAUUUUCAGGCUGUCCACAAGCACGUGC